rnacentral:pre_miRNA from 1 species
UUCAAGCGUAGUAGUGAGUUUCCGUAUCUAAAUUUAAUUUUCUAUUUUAUUUUAAGAAAAUUAUGAUUCGUAUUUUUAUUAUUAUUAGAUGAUAAAACAUAAAUAUAGUACUUUAUAUGUGACUUGCGUUUUUAAAUUUUUUAAUUUGUUUUAAAAUAAGACGGACAAUUAAAGCUAGACACGAAAAUUGUUGUUGUGUUUAAA